rnacentral:misc_RNA from 1 species
UCCGGUUUGUCACCGGCAGUCUCAUUAGAGUGCUCAACUGAAUGUAGCAACUAAUGACAAGGGUUGCGCUCGUUGCGGGACUUAACCCAACACCUCACGGCACGAGCUGACGACAGCCAUGCAGCAUCUGUGCACGCUCUCUUGCGAGUCCCUUUGGUUUCCCAUCAGUACCACGUGCAUGUCAAGCCGAGGUAAGGUUCUGCGCGUUGCAUCGAAUUAAACCACACGCUCCGCUGCUUGUGCAGGCCCCCGUCAAUUUCUUUGAGUUUUAAUCUUGCGACCGUACUUCCCAGGCGGCACAUUUAACGCGUUGGCUUCGCCACGAGCGGGGUCGAUUCCGCUCACAGCAAAUGUGCACCGUUUACGGCUAGGACUAC